AAAAGAGAAUGAAACGAAACAGAGAGCAGGGGAAAGAAACGAAGGAAGAAAGAAAAAAAGAAAAAGGGAAAAAUUGGGAUUUCAAGGCUUGAAAGUUAAAUAGGUACGGGUAUGGGGUAUUACAAAAGUUCUUUGUGAACUUCCUGAGAUUUAGCCUGGAUGAGCAUCCUGAUAUGUGGCUCGAGAGUGUGCUUUCCGAUUAUGUGCUCUAAAGGGGUACCACUGGAUACAAAUUGACGGAUUAUAGACUUGUACACUUUAAGUGUACUAUAGACUAUCCAUCGAUAUUUCAAAUAAAUUCAACGGGUAAAGUUCUGACAGGGUUAAAUAUGAACUAAAGAUAAGUUGUCAUGGAAUGAAAUAUGAGAUAUGGAAAUAUGACAUGAAAAUAAAUUAUUUUUACAUGUAUCUGCCUGAAAUAUAUGAAAAUAAUGUUACAUGAAAUAUGAAAGUAUGAAAUGUUUAUAUAUGAACAUGAAAUGGUUUAAUGAAUACGUUCAUCUAUGAGAAUAGAUUUGUACA